GACGAACGCCGGCGGCGUGCUUAACACAUGCAAGUCGAACGGUAAGGCCCUUCGGGGUACACGAGUGGCGAACGGGUGAGUAACACGUGGGUGAUCUACCCUGCACUUCGGGAUAAGCUUGGGAAACUGGGUCUAAUACCGGAUAGGACUCCGGACUGCAUGGUCUGGGGUGGAAAGCUUUUGCGGUGUGGGAUGGGCGCGCGGCCUAUCAGCUUGUUGGUGGGGUGAUGGCCUACCAAGGCGACGACGGGUAGCCGGCCUGAGAGGGGGACCGGCCACACUGGGACUGAGAUACGGCCCAGACUCCUACGGGAGGCAGGAGUGGGGAAUAUUGCACAAUGGGCACAAGCCUGAUGCAGCGACGCCGCGUGAGGGAUGACGGCCUUCGGGUUGUAAACCUCUUUCAGCAUCGACGAAGCGAAAGUGACGGUAGGUGCAGAAGAAGGACCGGCCAACUACGUGCCAGCAGCCGCCGUAA
rnacentral:rRNA from 1 species